rnacentral:rRNA from 1 species
UACGGAGGGGGCUAGCGUUGUUCGGAAUUACUGGGCGUAAAGCGCACGUAGGCGGCUUUGUAAGUUAGAGGUGAAAGCCCGGGGCCCAACUCCGGAAUUGCCUUUAAGACUGCAUCGCUAGAAUUGUGGAGAGGUAAGUGGAAUUCCGAGUGUAGAGGUGAAAUUCGUAGAUAUUCGGAAGAACACCGGUGGCGAAGGCGACUUACUGGACACAUAUUGACGCUGAGGCUCGAAAGCAUGGGGAGCAAACAGG